GAAUGUUUGUCUGCCGAGUUGUGCUUCUUGUUUAAGUUCAUGGCUUCCUUCCACUAUCCUCCUAGUAAACCAGGGCCUGAUAAUAAAAUAUUUUAUAAUGUGUUUUUGGGGAAAAUUGAAUUUCGGGGUAGACAUUUUGGAGCUAGAUCGGACGGCUGAGGCUAUCUAGUUGAUCUAAUUUUUGAGAUAACAAUCAAACCAACCGUUUACACGUGUCUUGGACCCCCAAAUUGCAUUACAAUAAUGUUUGUAUAGAAUGUUGCAUGUUGCUGUUUAGAUAAAGUUCAUUCAUCUUAAUCCUUCCUAAUUGGUACCUUUGAC
rnacentral:lncRNA from 1 species